UACGGAGGGUCCAAGCGUUAUCCGGAAACAUUGGGUUUAAAGGGUCCGUAGGCGGUUUUGUAAGUCAGUGGUGAAAGCCCAUCGCUCAACGGUGGAACGGCCAUUGAUACUGCAAGACUUGAAUUAUUGGGAAGCAACUAGAAUAUGUAGUGUAGCGGUGAAAUGCUUAGAGAUUACAUGGAAUACCAAUUGCGAAGGCAGGUUGCUACCAAUACAUUGACGCUGAUGGACGAAAGCGUGGGGAGCGAACAGG
rnacentral:rRNA from 1 species